UACGAAGGGGGCGAGCGUUGUUCGGAAUCACUGGGCGUAAAGGGCGCGUAGGCGGCCCUCUUAGUCGCGUGUGAAAGCCCCGGGCUCAACCUGGGAACGGCGCGCGAAACGGGAGGGCUGGAGUUCGGGAGAGGAGAGUGGAAUUCCCAGUGUAGAGGUGAAAUUCGUAGAUAUCGAGAGGAACACCGGUGGCGAAGGCGGCCUUCUGGACAGUGACUGACGCUGAGAUGCGAAAGCGUGGGGAGCAAACAGG
rnacentral:rRNA from 1 species